UGCCUCAGUAACGGCGAGUGAAGCGGCAACAGCUCAAAUUUGAAAUCUGGCCCUUUCAGGGUCCGAGUUGUAAUUUGCAGAGGGUGCUUUGGUGUCGGCCGUGGUCUAAGUUCCUUGGAACAGGACGUCACAGAGGGUGAGAAUCCCGUACGUGGCCGCCGGUCUUCACCGUGUAAAGCCCCUUCGACGAGUCGAGUUGUUUGGGAAUGCAGCUCUAAAUGGGAGAUACAUUUCUUCUAAAGCUAAAUAUUGGCCAGAGACCGAUAGCGCACAAGUAGAGUGAUCGAAAGAUGAAAAGCACUUUGGAAAGAGAGUCAAAAAGCACGUGAAAUUGUUGAAAGGGAAGCGCUUGCAGCCAGACGUGCCCGCAGUUGCUCACCUGGGCUCUCGCCCGGGGCAUUCUUCUGCGGGCAGGCCAGCAUCAGUUCGGGCGGUUGGAUAAAGGCCUCUAUCACGUAUCUUCCUUCGGGAUGACCUUAUAGGGGAGGCGCAACACGACCAGCCUGAACUGAGGACCGCGCAUCAGCUAGGAUGCUGGCGUAAUGGCUGUAAGCGGCCCGUCUUGUAACACGGACCAAGGAGUCUAACAUCUAUGCGAGUGUUUGGGUGUAAAGCCCGGGCGCGCAAUGAAAG
rnacentral:rRNA from 1 species